ACAAGUCCACAUAUGUGUGCCCCAGCUUCGGCUUGUGGUGCAUAUAUAAGCCCUGUGCAGCAAUGCACGUGUGACACAUUUUAUCGUUUGACUGAUUAUAUCACAAAACAUAAUAGC
rnacentral:misc_RNA from 1 species